ensembl:misc_RNA Metazoa_SRP Metazoan signal recognition particle RNA
GCCGGGCGCGGUGGCGCACGCCUGUAGUCCCAGCUACUCGGGAGGCUGAGACAGGAGGAUCGCUUGAGUCCAGGAGUUCUGGGCUGUAGUGCGCUAUGCCGAUCGGGUGUCCGCACUAAGUUCGGCAUCAAUAUGGUGACCUCCCGGGAGCGGGGAGCCACCAGGUUGCCUAAGGAGGGGUGAACCGGCCCAGGUCGGAAACGGAGCAGGUCAAAACUCCCGUGCUGAUCAGUAGUGGGAUCGCGCCUGUGAAUAGCCACUGCACUCCAGCCUGGGCAACAUAGCGAGACCCCGUCUCUU